rnacentral:rRNA from 1 species
UGGAUUAUGACAAGUGCACCUCCUGCGGGGCUUGUGUAAAGGCAUGUCCGCGAGACCUGAUCGAGCUGAUCCCAUUUAGCGACGAAUCGAUGCUCGUGGUUGGCUGCUCCAGCAAGGACCCCGGAAGGGUCGUCCGGAAGG